rnacentral:rRNA from 1 species
UGGGGAAUAUUGGACAAUGGGCGAAAGCCUGAUCCAGCCAUGCCGCGUGUGUGAAGAAGGUCUUCGGAUUGUAAAGCACUUUAAGUUGGGAGGAAGGGCAGUUACCUAAUACGUGAUUGUUUUGACGUUACCGACAGAAUAAGCACCGGCUAACUCUGUGCCAGCAGCCGCGGUAAUACAGAGGGUGCAAGCGUUAAUCGGAAUUACUGGGCGUAAAGCGCGCGUAGGUGGUUAGUUAAGUUGGAUGUGAAAUCCCCGGGCUCAACCUGGGAACUGCAUUCAAAACUGACUGACUAGAGUAUGGUAGAGGGUGGUGGAAUUUCCUGUGUAGCGGUGAAAUGCGUAGAUAUCGGAAGGAACACCAGUGGCGAAGGCGACUUCCUGGGCCAAUACUGACACUGAGGUGCGAAAGCGUGGGUAGCAAACAGGAUUAGAUACCCUUGUAGUCCCUGAGCGGGCUGGCAAGGCGCAU